rnacentral:rRNA from 1 species
GACGAACGCUGGCGGCGUGCCUAACACAUGCAAGUCGAAACGAACGGCGGAGAGCUUGCUCUCCAAUGUUAGUGGCGGACGGGUGAGUAACGCGUGAGUAACCUGCCUGUCAGAGGGGGAUAACGUUUGGAAACGAACGCUAAUACCGCAUAAGACCACAGAGGGGCAUCCUUCAGGGGUCAAAGAUUUAUCACUGAGAGGUGGGCUCGCGUCUGAUUAGAUAGUUGGUGGGGUAACGGCCUACCAAGUCGACGAUCAGUAGCCGACCUGAGAGGGUGAUCGGCCACAUUGGGACUGAGACACGGCCCAAACUCCUACGGGAGGCAGCAGUGGGGAAUAUUGGGCAAUGGGGGAAACCCUGACCCAGCAACGCCGCGUGGAGGAAGAAGGUUUUCGGAUCGUAAACUCCUGUCCUCAGGGAAGAGCAGAAGACGGUACCUGAGGAGGAAGCCCCGGCUAACUACGUG